GGGGGAGACAAGAUGGCGGCUGCGGGAGGGGGUCCUCUCUUCUCAGCUCCCCCGCUCACCCGCCUUCUCCUUCCCUGCCGCCGCCCUCGCUCCAGGAGAGAGCUUUCGCACCGCCCCCGCCCUGCUCGGUGCCUACACGACUCCCAGAAAGUCGCGUCUUCCCUAACCCCCAUGCCCAGGACCUGAGGACAAAGGUCUAGCGAUUGUCCGUCCCCUCCCCCAGUGAGGACAGCCGGGAAAGAUCUGCCUUUGUUGUGUACAGAUGGUGUCUCACUGUGUUAUCCAGACUGGACUCAAAUUUCUGGGCUCCAAUGGUCCUCUUGCCUCAGCCUCCCAAGUAGUCAGGAGGACUACAGUGUUACUGUCCUUAUUUUACAGAUGAAGAAACUGAGGCCCCAGAUCACAGGGCUGGUGAGAAGAACAUGUGAUAUCUCCAGAGCUAACACUUAACUACUAUAGUGUACCACAAAAGGAGAGAGCAGCAUUAGAGAGGGGUGCCACUUCCUCUGAUGGAGGAUAAAAAAGAAAGAUUGCCAGCCUGGGCAACAUAGUGAGACCCUGUCUCUACAAAAAAUAAAAAUAAAAAAAUUA
rnacentral:antisense_RNA from 1 species